rnacentral:rRNA from 1 species
UGAGGAACAUGACUUUCGGUGGGGGAGUAGCCGGCCCAACGGCCGGGUAAUACCGCGUACGACCGCCUGGGGACAUCCCCGAGCGGUGAAAGCAGCAAUGCGCCGAUAGAGUGCCUCGCGGCCUAUCAGCUAGUUGGUGGGGUAAUGGCUCACCAAGGCGACGACGGGUAGCUGGU